AACGAACGCUGGCGGCAUGCCUAACACAUGCAAGUCGAACGAAGCCUUCGGGCUUAGUGGCGCACGGGUGCGUAACGCGUGGGAAUCUGCCCCUUGCUUCGGAAUAACAGUUAGAAAUGACUGCUAAUACCGGAUGAAGUCUUCGGACCAAAGAUUUAUCGUCCAGGGAUGAGCCCGCGUAGGAUUAGGUAGUUGGUGGGGUAAAGGCCUACCAAGCCGACGAUCCUUAGCUGGUCUGAGAGGAUGAUCAGCCACACUGGGACUGAGACACGGCCCAGACUCCUACGGGAGGCAGGAGUGGGGAAUAUUGGACAAUGGACGCAAGUCUGAUCCAGCAAUGCCGCGUGAGUGAUGAAGGCCUUAGGGUCGUAAAGCUCUUUUACCAGGGAUGAUAAUGACAGUACCUGGAGAAUAAGCACCGGCUAACUCCGUG
rnacentral:rRNA from 1 species